AUUAUUAUUAUUAUUAUUAUUAUUAUUAUUAUUAUUAUUAUUAUUAUUAUUAUUAUUAUUAUUAUUAUUAUUAUUAUUAUUAUUAUUAUUAUUAUUAUUAUUAUUAUUAUUAACACAAAUCAUAAGACCGUGUGUGUCGGAUAUAAGGACCAUCAUAGUUACAUUAGGCCCUAUUUUUUAUUAGUUUAGGUAGCUAAGGGUCUAUUAGGUCUGGGGUCUGUUAGGUCUGGGGUCUGUUAGGUCUGGGGUCUAUUAAGUCUGGGGUCUAUUAGGUCUGGGGUCUGUUAGGUCUGGGGUCUAUUAGGUCUGGGGUCUGUUAGGUCUGGGGUCUGUUAGGUCUGGGGUCUGUUAGGUCUGGGGUCUGUUAGGUCUGGGGUCUGUUAGGUCUGGGGUCUGUUAGGUCUGGGGUCUGUUAGGUCUGGGGUCAUAUAAUUAGUAUACCAGUUGCAUUGUGUAUGAUGUGUAUUGUGCAUUACAUGUAAGUCAACAGCAACAACAACAACGACAACAACAACAACAACAACAACAACAAAUGUAUUAAGUUUGUAAGAAUUUAUUCAUAAAAUAAAUGACUUAAAAAAAUCCUCAAA